CGCCCCGCUCCGCCCCGCGGCCCAGCCGCUGCGUGUCGCGCGCCGGCGCGGCCCCUCAGUGGGCGCUCUGGUGACUGAGAGACUGGGGUACCGGAUAUUGAAAUGACUUGUUAAACAAAAUGGUGAUUUGGAAGGAUACUGGGUAGUUCAUAGAUGAUGAGAAGGCUUGAUAACAAGGCUAAGUUAAAAGAACAGAAACCAGGGCAUUCCAAGGAACUUAAUGACACAGCAAGAAUGCAAGAAUGCGAGUGAGAGAGCGAGCAAGCAAGAGAAAUGACUAGUGACCAGUUGAGAAAGUCCUGUCUUCCACUGAGCCAUUUCACUCCUGCCCAUCUACUCUCAACAGCUCAAGAGCCGCUGAACCCUCGGAACUCUGUGAGGAUCAGAGGAGACAACAUGUGUGAAAACACCUUACCAAUACAAAGCUGUGCAGAUGUAAAGGAUGGUUAUUCCAGAAUGGAGGUUCUUAACUUGAGAAGGGAAGAGAGAGCUAUUAUUUAUUGAUCUCCUCAUACCUCAAAUGAUGCCAAAAAGAAGAGUGAAGCAAGUGAUACAGAGGGAUUGCAGUGAAGUUACUAUGAAGAUAAAGGUAAACACACACAAAUGACCUCCAGCAUCUUCUGUCUUUAGCUUUUCCUUCCUAGCUGACACAUCUUUUGAGUUUUAGAACAUUAACAUUGUUUUACAUUCCAUCUCAUUUAGAGGCUUUCCUCUUUCUUUCCAGGCUAUUUCUUUGUGAGAUAACUUAAUUCUGCUUUUUUGUUUUUCAUUGAGAAUUUCAUUUCCUUUUCUGCUUAGGCAUUUGCUCAGCCUAACUUAGCAGUGUGGUUUAUUCUGCUGAGAAAAACUGAGAACUCAUGAGAAUACCGUUCUUUCCUUUUCUUUCUUGGUAUUCAAGCAUGGGCUUGGGAGUUAGGCAUUCCUGGGUUCAGAUCUUGGCUUUUCUUCU
rnacentral:lncRNA from 10 species